rnacentral:rRNA from 1 species
CAGUCGCCGCGGGAAUACGUAGGGUGCAAGCGUUAAUCGGAAUUACUGGGCGUAAAGCGUGCGUAGGCGGUUCGUUAAGUCUGUUGUGAAAGCCCCGGGCUCAACCUGGGAAUGGCAAUGGAUACUGGCGAGCUAGAGUGUGUCAGAGGAUGGUGGAAUUCCCGGUGUAGCGGUGAAAUGCGUAGAGACCGGGAGGAACAUCAGUGGCGAAGGCGACCAUCUGGGACAACACUGACGCUGAGGCACGAAAGCGUGGGGAGCAAACAGGAUUAGAUACCCCCGUAGUCCCUGUCUCUUAUAC